UCAUGAGAUUAUAAACAAAGAAAUGCAGACAACCACUUAAAGCUGGAAAAGGAAGGAAACAAAUUGCUACACCUUCAGAGAAAGAGUGCAGUCCUACUGACAUCUUGAUUUGUUCUAGAACCUGAUGCUGAACUGCUAGCCUUCUGCUAGACAGAGCAACCAGCAAGUUAUCCUCAGCUUCAUCACUGAAGUUGGAAGAACAAAAUCCACUUCACAGGAUGGACGAUCAAAAUGGAAGACAGAAAACUUAAGCAACUUAUAGAAUGCUACACAGGUAGUAAAUGGUAGAGCUGGAAUUUGAAUCCAAGCUGACUGGAUCCAGGGCCCACACGUUAAUCACAUUACCCUGUGUUCAAAAUCAAAGAACAGAGCAUACGUUUGUAUGUAUUUUCCUACUGAUGGAGA